CCAGAUCAACCCCCACAGCAAAAGAGAGAAGAGCUGAUUCGGCUCCCACUAUGCAAUCAGCUCUUCUCUAUCUUUUGUUGCGAGGAUUGAUCUGG